rnacentral:sRNA from 1 species
GGCGAGUGAAGCGGCAAAAGCUCAAUUUUGAAAUCCCUUCGGCGAGUUGUAAGUGAAGUGGUUAAGCUUUGAUAUAAGUUUCCUGGAACGGAACGCCAUAGAGGGUGAUAGCCCCGUUGUCUUUGCUUAAUGUGCUACUUCAGAGCGAGUCGAGUUGUUUGGGAAUGCAGCUCUAACAGGUGGUAAACUCCAUCUAAGGCUAAAUAUUGCUGGGAGACCGAUAGCGAACAAGUACAGUGAUGGAAAGAUGAAAAGCACUUUGAAAAGAGAGUGAAAUAGCGUGUGAAAUUGUUGGAGGGGAAGGCGAUGAUAGGAAUAGGAGGCUGCGGUUUGAAAUAAUUAUUUUUCGGGCCACGGUCUCUGGUGCCUAUUUUCGCACCCGUCUUGAACCCGGACCCAUGUGUUUGUGUGGCUCUUCAGUGGCCGCUUCAUCCGCCCGUCUUGAAACUGCCACCAGGUGUUUGAUAGCGGGUAUCGAGAGACUGGCCGGGACCUGUGACUGCUGUGCUAUUGCAACGAUGCUGGCAUAAUGAUUAACCGCCGCCCGUCUUGAAACAAAAACCAACCA